rnacentral:lncRNA from 1 species
AUAUCCUAGUCAUAUUUAUAGCACAAACAAAAAUUUGCAAAUUUUUUUGCAAACUGAAAUAUAUUUUCAUUAUUUAAAAAAAGCCAAAGAAUUAACAUGCAGAUGAAAUACAGAAAUAAAAGAAAAUUAUAACUACCAAAGGAAAAGACUGACAAUUUUUUUAAGCUUUUGCUCAACACAGAUCAUUCCUAUCUCAGUUUCUAACAUUCAGCACUGGUUGUGAUUUUUGUAAUUGUUUCACUGCUACAUUUGUUUAAUCCUAUUACGAACAGAAAGGGAACAGUUACUCUUUUUCUAUUACAUUAUUCUCAAUCAACUAAAGAUUCAAAGGAAAUUCUAAAAUUAAUUUAAAGGAAAUUCUAAAAUAUUCUAUUUAUGAUAUAUGUUCGCAAGUUAUCAUUUAUCCUUUGUAAACUCUCGAAUGGAUCAAGUGUUUGAUAUUAAAUGUACAAGUACCUGAGUCCUCCAACACUUGCGUUCUAUUACAAAAAAAGAUGGAAACCACAAUAUCCCAGAAAUAGUUAUAUCACUUGAAGGAUAAAGUUCGUAUUUAUAAUGAUGAAAAUUUCCCCUUUGUACAAAUAUGGCAUUUCAGAAUAAUGCUUGUGAUUCAGUUUACAUUGAAAAUCUAGUUAAUUGCUUUUUUUCCCUAAACUUCAGCCAUUUUCAAUUCUACUAGUCAAAAACAAAGCUGUUAAGUGUGCCAUAAACAUUCUUAAAUAAAUAAAUAAACCAUUAACUGCUGAUGUUACUGGAAACAAAUUUUCCAACAUACUUACAUAGCUGUUAAAUUAACCAAAUACAAAUCAGCUUAAAUAAGGCUGUUACUUUACAAUUUCUCCACUUUGUAAAAACACUAAAUAGCUUUUAAAUUUGAGAAUAGUUAUCAGUUUGAUAAGAAUACAAAUUCAGUACCUAUUAACACUGGCAGAUUAUAUGCAUUACAUGAAUUUGGACUUCAUUGCAUAUUACAGUAUGUAAUCCUAAAUUUAAACAUAGCAUUUCCUCUCUAAGAUUCCGAUGGUGCAUUUUCACAAAAACACAGAAGAGCUGAAAGAAACUUUAGAGACCAUCUAGUCUAACCUCCCCCCUCAUUUUUCAUGAGGAAAAGAGGCCUAUUGAGGUGAAGUUAAAAUAGUGAUGGUUCGUUCUAUUUACAAAAUAGAAUACAGCUUCACCCAAUGUAAACAAUAAGAUACUACAAAUUAAGUUUACUUCAAUGUUAAAUUUCUUAUUUUUUUGCAACUUAAUUUAGAUUAAAUAUUUUUAAGGAAAAACAGUAACUAAGUCUCUACCAAGUACAUACUAGGUUCAAUAUAAACUACUAUCACAGCAAACUAUUUCCUUAAAUCAAAAAUAAACUACAUAAAGUACACAUCUCCUAAGUUCAUUUUGAUGAUAUGGGUUAAAAGAAUAAAGCAACCUUAAAAAAAUUAAGAUACUUUAAAAAAAUCCAAGGCGACAACUUCUUCAGUAUUGAAAAGAUGUUUCAAUGAAAGUAGACUUACUGUGUAAAUAGGAACAUUUUCAUUGACACUUUUGCAGGUCAGGCCAUUUUACAUAAUGGUAGGAAAAAAAUGUUUAAUAACACCAGAAAAGGCAAACCAGUUUCCUUCAUGAACCAAAUGGUGAGUAAAAGCACAAAUAUAACCAAAUACUCAUUUUUUUUUCUGUUCACUAUUCUUUAUAAAUGGCUUUUAGUGGAGAAAGAUUUUAUUACCAAUAUACAUUCACAAGUGCAAUAUCUAAAACGCAUAAAGUGCUCAAAAAAAAAUACAAAGCGUGUGGUCAAUUCUUUAUAGCUAAAAACAAAACAAAACAAAAAAAAACCACACAAAAAAAAUCCUCAAAAAACAAGCUUUCUCCCAAGAAGAAUUCAGUGGUUAUGAGUAUUUCAGAACUACUACCUAGUUUUAUCUUUAAGACAAGAAAACAAAAAGGGACAAGGAACCAUUCUUUUAACCCAAUAAUACCAUGGAUAAAGGAAAAAAAAAAUUGUCAUUUUCUUGGUCCAUUAUAUUGCUUAUAGAGAUGGAAUAAGCAUUCCAAACUAUUGGUACUUCCAACACAAGUUAUUAAACUUGCAUUAGUAAAGGCAAAAAGUUCAUGAAAUCUUUAUAAAUUCUUGCUAUUUGGCAAGUUAAGUUAUGCUGUUCAAGGAUUUUUAAAUGUUCUACUAAGGGCAGUGAAGUUUUUAUUGCCUAAGCUAAAAGUAAACAAGUCUCUAGUGCUCAAAAAUCAAUAGGGUCAGGUCUAUUGUCUAUUACUACUUUGCCACAAGUAAAUUGAUUAGUGCUGAAAAGAAACCUUGCUCUUCUUCCCUCCUUCCCUCCCCCAGGGAAAAAAGGCUAACCUUUCCCCUCUCAAACCACCUUUUGAGUAAUUCUGAGAUUGCUAUGCUCCUUCAAUUUCAGAAUACAUCCCAUUUAUUUUCUUAGGAAUAAAAAUUAAGUAUAAGACAGUUAUUUCAACAAGGUAAUAGAGACAAAUAAAUCAAUUAAGGACUCUCAAUAGGCUAUUUCUUGGGUGCUGAAAGUUAGCUUCUGAUAAUACCGAAGUUGAAAGAAUUUAAGGCACUGAAAAUUGCCAAAUCGACCUAGUGAAAAAAUUGUGAUUUUUGGAAAUUGUUGACAAAGUGUGCCCUAACAGGUAUUUUGCUAUUUAAAAAUCUAUCCGUAACAGAACACUGGAUACUAAGAGUGAUAUAGGAUAUUUACUGGGAACAUGCAGAAGUACCACAGGAUAAAAAAAGAUGGAGGUGGGGUGGGAAGAGAUUUCCUGAUAUUUCCUGACAGGAUUGCAUAUAUUCUUUUCCCUCAAGUGGGGUUCUCUUUGGAUAAUCCAUAUUCAGAAAACUUCCAUGUUCAUUUUAAGUUAUUUCUCAAGCAUGCAGUUUUGAGGCCUUCAGUGACUAAUCUUAAGAGGGAAUUUAAAGAUUAUUUUAAAGUAUAAUCUUAAUAGCUUUUGUAGCUAAUGAAUUUUCCUCAUGCUCCUGGGAAAAAAAAAAAAAAAAAAAAAAAAGGAUAAAUACUGAAAAAACAGGGAUAUGGUCCAGACUUUGUGGUCACUGCAUCCUUCUUUGGUUUGGUGAUUUCACCACUAAGACGACCAAAAUUCAGGAUGUACCAAUUCCAACACAUUAAGACAUGGA